rnacentral:rRNA from 1 species
UACGGAGGGUGCAAGCGUUGUCCGGAUUUAUUGGGUUUAAAGGGUGCGUAGGCGGUUUAAUAAGUCAGUGUUUAAAGUCUGCAGCUUAACUGUAGGAAUGGCAUUGAUACUGUUAAACUUGAGUAAAGUUGAGGUAGGCGGAAUUGAUGGUGUAGCGGUGAAAUGCAUAGAUAUCAUCAAGAACAUCGAUUGCGAAGGCAGCUUACUAAGCUUUAACUGACGCUGAGGCGCGAAAGCUAGGGGAGCAAACGGG